AGGAGGCCCUAAGGCCGCCGUCUACGCCUACACAUAGCCCCGAUCCUCGACCUCCACGACGCCCUUGACCGGAGCUUCGACGCCUAAAUCCAGAACAUCGCUGCCGUGGACAGCCUCUUCUUCGACCUAUCCUCAAGCUCAGUGCCAUUUGAGGAGGAUAACAAGGAUCCGAGGAUCUGGUUCCAUGUCCAUAAUUACCAUGAGUGUAUGUUCUCCAUAUUAAAGAGGAUCAACGAUAUGCUGUUUAAGAAUUCUCACAUAUGCUGCCUGUGCAGCUGUUUCUGUUGUACUGAUGACGUUUCUUGGGAUGCAGCAAACGAGCUUGUUGUUGGCUGGCACGUCACUGGUCCAAAGCUAAAGGACUAAAGAGGUCUAAAUAAAUGUGCAUGUUGGUUCAUUGAUCCUUGACAAAUGUUUUGUUUUUUCAGCGUUGGUUUAUGUGGUCAAGUGGUAAACUGGACGGGUCAAGUCUUUUCGAAGCGAAAUUAUACCGUAACAAAUAGAAUGAAUAGAACUUGCUGGCAUCCAUGUUUCAGCGAGACAAGGAGGAAUUGAUGACAUGAAGAAGCAUCUGGCUUUUGGUGUAAAAUUCAACAUAAGAGACAGUGAAGAGAACUCCGUUGUGCUGGCUGUCAAAAUGUCGUCGAGGUUCUUGUUAAUUCAAAUGCAGACGUCAAUCCUCAGGUAUGUGAUUUUAUUUGCACACUUCACUCAUUGAAAUAAAAAAUUCUUGAAUCUUAAGUUUGGUUAGUGUAUUUGAGCAUAUGAAACUGGUUGUAUCUGCGGCCAAGUAUUUCAAUGGGUUUCCAUGAUAAACUGCAUCAAAUGAGCAAAACGUUGGAUAUAUCCAUACUAACUAGAACACUUUAGGCAAGUUAUCAGCUUGCCAGGUUGGUGAAUUGACAUACUAGGUAACUUGUCAAGUCGUCAGUUCAUAACUUGAUAUCUUGCAGAGCGUAGAGCGCAGAAAGUUAUGGACCUUUUUUUUAAUUCCCCUGAGAUUGUGCCUUGCAGUGACUGGAUUAAGAUAAUGAUCGAUGGCUAUUUCUAUAAUCAUUAGCCCAUCAUAUCUUAACACUUAACAUCUCAUCUAAUACUUUUAUGAUAUUAAAGUUUAUUACAAGGUUUGCACCUUCUAGCUGUCAAUCAUUGAAGCUACAUUGCAGUAGAAAAUGGUCUGCGGCCUGCAGUCCGUACACCUUAUGUUGCGGAGUAUUCAAUUUUUUAGUCACUAUUUUUUCAAGUAUACUUGAACAUACUUAUGUAAGCUCUUGCUAAAAUAUUCAUUUUGAACUUCAAAGCAUUCAUGCAGGAAGAGCUUCCAGAUUGAGUCCCUUUGUCUGAUUGCAAAUAAACUAGGACUAUAAAUUAGAGGCUAGGUAGAAGGAACUUUGUGUUUGGGGAUUUAUUUAUCAGGAUUUAAGUGACGAUCUUUGGGCGUGAUCUCUUUAUUUGAUUUUGCACAUUUAUUUGGAGGUUUUUGCCGAGCCAAGCACCAUGCAUAUGUCUGUGUUUGCAUCCUUUUUUCAAAAGUGUCUGAUUUGAUUUAAUAAAUUAGGGACUCACUUUUUUUUUUGGUUGCUUAGAACAGUUUUUUUUUUUAAAUGUUGCUACUAAUAGAAAUUCGUUUUUUAGAUCCUUGGUUCAAUUCCCUUCAUCAUUUUUAGAGGUUAUUUCGUAAAUACGAUACUAUGUUCUUGGCAGACUCACUCUGAUGCUCUUAAACACUACUCCAUCCGUUCCAAAAUAUAAGGCACAUAAGAUUAGUCAAAAGUCAAACCCUACUAAGUUCGACCAAAUAUUUACCGAAAAAUAUAAACAUUCACAAUAUUAAAUAGACAUUGAGAUAAUAUACUUUGGUGAAUCUAUUGAUUUCGGUUUAGUAUUCUAGAUGUUCAUACUUUUUGUUAUAAACUUGGUCAAACUUAUAAGAUGUUGGCUUUUGAAUAAACUUACAUGCCUUAUAUUUGGGAUGGAGGGACUACUACAGCUUAUAGAGAUUCAUUGUUUCUCAGUGAAAAGUUUUUGCAAUUUGGGGCAAUCUGAGCUAUGUUCAGUUUUUCCAAUUUGAAGAUACACAUUAAUUACGCGGUAAAGCAAAAUAAAAACAUCUGAUGUGGCAUUUAUGUAUUAUCGAGCUUUAUAUCCUGUACGGAUUACACAUACAUAGUUGGAGAAUUAAUUUUGAGUUUUGAAAAUAUUUAUUAUGGUGCGUACAUGUUGUCAUAAUGUCUACAUGAUAUCAUAGCAACAACUACACAAUUCAACAUGAUGUCGUAACCUUUUGAUUCUAACAGUUUUAUGCGUAGGUGCUCAUACCCCUCAUUCUACCGAACAUAUAAGAACAUAUUGUGUGUUAGGUUCUAAUGCGUGUAAGGUCCUAUAGCAGUUUUGUUGUCUGUUGCUUGACCUGCUUGCUAUUUUAGUGUUCGUUACCCAAGGUACUCAUCAUGCUGUGUAUACUCCUAAUCUGGUUUGCUAUUUGGUCAUUGUUAUGUUUCCAAUCUUGUGUGUCAGUAGCUAGUUACAAUCUUCUUUCAGUUAGCUGAAUAAGGGUUUGGUUCAGUGUGCGUGUACACUGACGACCUAGUCAUUUAUCAUUUCAUGCCGUAGUUGUAGGCAGCCUCGAUCACAGCGUGGGAUGGCAUGUUGUGUAUGAUCAUGGCUGCGCGUAGUGGACGUUGUGGCCGAGCGGCUGUGGGAUGGCGCAGCCAGUAGGACUCGGUCCAGCUCCAAGUUUUUAGCUGGGUUCGGUUGUAACUGAACUGAGAAUAAAAGGAGAAGAACAACAGAAAACCCGUAAGGUUUUACACGGCAACAAAAUCUUCAGUGUAUGUCUCUCUCUGAAAGUGUCGAGUUUCAGGUCCUGAACUAACAGUCAUGGCGUGCAUUGCUUGAUCGGUCCUAUUAGUCGGAACCUCCAUAGGCAAAGCAUCAUGGCAUUUUUUUAAAUCAUGAUCUGGUAUUUGUUCUUUAUAUGUAUCUUAGGGUAGAGCAAAGUCUUUGUUUGAACCCUUCUAUUCUAUCGAAAGGUUGGUUUUCCUCUUUGGCAGUUCAAUGGUGUUAUCUAAGCUCCUUAACGGUGAUACGUUAUUUCUAAUUCAUGCUUCUAUUUCCUUUUUCGUGCGAAGGCAUACCAAUUGUGAUAUUUUUGUUGAACCGUGAAUUGGAGCAAGAUUACACUAUUAUGGAUAUGUACUGUGCAAACACAUAGGUAUUGUAUGAGGUUCCAUUAAACUGACCGGUGUUCCAUCUACUCUCAGUUUCAUGAGAUGAUGUGCAAUGAAAGAAACACCUCCACACUAGCUGCGACGCUUAGAACCAUGCUAUUAUGAUGCUUCACAUUCGCCUUCCCAUUUAUAUGUUUUUAUCCAUUUUUGCGAUGGACAUUGUCUACGACCGUACGUAAAGAUAGUGAGGAUUGCUACUGGAGCAUGGGCUGCAUGGCCGCUUGCACUGGUUAACGAAUGUGCAUAGAUGGGAAGCUAUUUUCAGUCAAUUAGAGAACCUCUGUUGCCCCAGACAACCUAGGGUAAUUUAUCAUGUUGGCUACUGCCUCCUGAGUUUGUACAUAAUGAGACCGUAUGGUAGUAAUUUGUGUUGUAAAUAUGAGUUUUCAUGCAAUAAAUUCAAUUUUGAAUC